AUCCUCGAUUUGCUGCGGGCAAAUAAAAUGGAUGUGGCUGUCAAAACCACCAGCAGUCAAAAUGCGCCCUUCGGCUGCGAUUGCUUCGGUACCGGGGCCAACGAUGAUGUCGACGCCCGGCUGCGUGUCUGGAUUUCCUGCUUUGCCGAUCUUGUGGAUGCGACCGUCGCGCAGACCAACGUCAGCCUUGUAGAUGCCUGAAUGGUCCACAAUCAGAGCAUUGGUAAUGACCGUGUCCACAGCCCCUUGGACGCGGGUUGCUUGUGAUUGGCCCAUCCCGUCGCGGAU
rnacentral:sRNA from 1 species